rnacentral:rRNA from 1 species
AGGUAAUAGAUACCCGGGUAGUCCACGCCGUAAACGUUGGGCACUAGGUGUGGGCUCCAACCAACGGAGUCCGUGCCGUCGCUAAACGCAUUAAAGUGCCCCGCCUGGGGAGUACGGCCGCAAGGCUAAAACUCAAAGGAAUUGACGGGGCCCCGCACAAGCAGCGGAGCGUGUUGCUUAAUUCGAUGCGACGCGAAGAACCUUACCUGGGCUUGACAUGCAGGGAAAAGCCGUAGAGAUACGGUGUCCUUCGGGCCGUUGCACAGGUGGUGCAUGGCUGUCGUCAGCUCGUGUCGUGAGAUGUUGGGUUAAGUCCCGCAACGAGCGCAACCCUUGUCCUAUGUUGCCAGCGGAUAACGCCGGGGACUCGUAGGAGACUGCCGGGGUCAACUCGGAGGAAGGUGGGGAUGACGUCAAGUCAUCAUGCCCCUUAUGUCCAGGGCUGCAAACACGCUACAAUGGCCGGUACAAAGGGCUGCUAUCCCGCGAGGGUGAGCGAAUCCCAGAAAGCCGGUCUCAGUUCGGAUUGGAGUCUGCAACUCGACUCC